rnacentral:rRNA from 1 species
GUAGGGAAUAUUGGUUAAUGGGCGAAAGCCUGAACCAGCAACGCCGCGUGCACGAUGACGGCCUUCGGGUUGUAAAGUGCUUUUUGGAGGGAAGAGGAAGGACGGUACCUCCAGAAUAAGUCUCGGCUAACUACGUGCCAGCAGCCGCGGUAACACGUAGGAGACAAGCGUUAUUCGGAUUUACUGGGCGUAAAGCGCGUGCAGGCGGUCUGACAAGUUGGAUGUGAAAGCUCCUGGCUUAACUGGGAGAGGUCGUUCAAAACUAUCAGACUAGAGAGUGGUAGAGGAAGGCGGAAUUCCGGGUGUAGUGGUGAAAUGCGUAGAUAUCCGGAGGAACACCAGUGGCGAAAGCGGCCUUCUGGACCAAUUCUGACGCUCAGACGCGAAAGCUAGGGUAGCGAACGGG